UCACAACUGAUGCUCUCCAGUGAACUCCUGCAGCCUUCUUGAGCACCCCCUCACACCCAGCCCCUCACCUGGGCUCUCACCUUUCAUGCCACAGUAGCAGUGAUGGGAAACAACCCCACUUUGUGCACACCUGCAUGCACAGACACAUUUUAUAUCACUUGAGCUUUGGAGCUUGACUCUCUAAAUCAUUUGUGUCUGCAACACCAUUGCAGGGUAUCACUCACUUGGAAAAUCCACCUAACUGCCUCAAUACAUUUUAGGGGCCUUAUUUCAGUUUUGAAGAUGGGAUCCAUAUCCCUAAUUUACUUUACAGCUUUUGAAAAUUAAAUACUAAAGAAUGUGACAUUCUACAGGAGAGACCGUCUAAAGUUUAGGGAUGAAAAGUGUCCUUUAGGGCUGUAAUGUAUUUUGCCAUUACUGCAUUACUGCUCAGGGAAUAAUACUAAGGAUGAUAGAGAGCAACUUGACAGGAUUCAUUAAGGCAGAGACAGCAAGUGUAUGCUGUGAGGCACAGGACUCUGCACAAGUCUGCCUAUGCAGAGCAAACUGCUCUGAUUUUUACUAACUGUGAUUUAUGAGUUUGUUUUUGUGGUUUUGUCUUUUUUUCUUUUUUUUUUCCCCGUGCUAAAAGAUGAACCUCAAAAGCACAACACUCAGAGUGCUCAUAACAAAGGUGCCCUGUUGAACACAGCAAGUAGCACAACAUUGUACAGCAUGACUAUGACAGCAAAGGCCCUGAGCCCACACUGCUGAGUUAGUGGCAGGAUUGUCAGCAUGUGGAAAACCAAAACUCACAGACAACACACAUUCACUCUUUGAUAUGCAGAACUUUUAGACUUCACUACAAGUGAUUUUUCUCAACCUGACAUCAACUAAAUGGUAUAGAAAAGGAAAUGCAGCAGAUACACCACAGGAUUGCACAGAUCUCCUAGACUGAGUUACAGCUGAGACUGCAGUUCAACAAAAUAAUGACUGCAACAUUGCCUUGUAGCAAACCACAGUUAUCUUGCCAGCAUCUCAUCUCAUCUCAUCUCCCUGGAUGUCUUGCACCUUUGACACAGCUCAUAAUGAGUAGGGAAUACUUCAUUCUAAGGCUGUUGCUUCGCUUCAAUGUGCACAUUCAAAGUCCUUGUGAAAGACAACUACUCCAGCCAUUAGGAUACUGGAGUCUGCAUAAAGUCAAAAUCCAGGUAUAAAUCUUAUCACUUUCUACAAACAGCAGCAAAGUAUAUUGAAUUUUGAGUCCCAGAUACAAUUCCCUUAUGAAUUUCUGCCUAGCUUCUUUCAAAUGCUCCCAUGCGUCCCAUACAGACACUUUGUAGCUUCUUUGACUUUUAGUUAAUGUUUAGCUGCUUACCUACUAAGAUGUUUUUCAUGUUUCUACAAAAAAUGAGCAUCACAAUAAAUACUGGUAUUCCACAGGCUGUUACUUCACUGUGUACAAUGUAUUUUAUUAGGUGAAAUAUUCUCCUAAGACAGCAGUAUUGGAGGAGUAUUAGCAGGAAAUUUUCCUAACACCCCAAGAUCUACUUAUGAUCAUUGUUCAGUUAUCUUCAGGAUUGCACUUUGUUGACAGCAACAGGAGAAGAAUUGCCAGAAAGAUGUUUCAUAAGGUUCUCAUCCAAAACUUCAGACAAAUUGGAAUGUUAGCAGGGAAGGCACUUCUGGGCCUUUGUUGCGAGAAAAAUUAAACACUGCAGUUACAAGGCCAGGGAUGUGACAGAAUCCCCAUCACUGGAUUUUCGAGACCUGAGUGAACAGGGUGCUGGAUCAUGUCAUCUAGGCUGAGUAGAACAGAUGUCCACUCAAGGUCCCUUCCAGCCUGGGUUAUUCUGGGUUAUUAUUUGAGCUUCUCCACUUAUCUCACUGGCAGUGCAGGUAAGGAGUGACAUAUAUAAAUAUCAAGGCUGACACUGAUCCCUUGAUAUUUAAAAAACACAGAGGAUUUUUUUAAGAAGACAAAAUAUAGUCAGCAACUGACAAUAAAUCAUGUUUUAGAUUACAUUAUUAUAUCUGUGGAAAGAGCUGCCAAAAAGAAGAUAAUAACAUACACCAUGAGAGAAAGGAAAAAACCUCUCAUUGGUGUAAGCACAAUUUAGACAAGUAUUAGAAGAAAACCCUUUUGAAUGGUGUGGAAUGACAAGCAAUGAAAUGCAUUAU